UGAACACAUAAAAAAUGAACACAUAAAUAUAUACAAACAAUUAGUCAUAAAUGAAUUGAAAAGUAUGUUUUAUAAAAAGCAAAAGGAUGCAACAGUAUUACAUGAUCAACCAAUUUCAAACGAACUGCAGUGGGUAAACAGUAAAAAUGAUGUAUUAAAUAACGAGUUGGGUGAUUCAAAUGAACAGCAAAACAAGGAGCAAAACAAAAAGAAGUAUAGCAUAACACGCCCGAAUGACAACAAUGAAAUCCAGCUGAAUACGUUCAAAAGCGAAACAGAUAAAAUAAGAUUCCUAUUAACCUGCUGUUUUAUAAGCAAAGAAUAUUAUUUUUCAAUUUAUUUUUAUAAUUUAGCAAACCUGAUCAAAUUUUUGUUUGAAUAUCGGAGGCACUUCUACCAAGAGGAAAAUGAAAACGACGAUGUUGAUGCGAAUUUUAAUGCUAGUGGUAGUAAUGAUAAAAAAAAAAAUAAACAUCAUAACAAACAUGUGAAAAAAAACACCAAUAUUGUUAAAUAUUUAUCAUUGCAAACGAAUAUUAUGAAAUUGACUUAUAAAAAAAGUGGUACACAAAUAAGUAGGAAAAAAAAAAAAAAAAAAAAAAAAAAANNNNNNNNNNNNNNNNNNNNNNNNNNNNNNNNNNNNNNNNNNNNNNNNNNNNNNNNNNNNNNNNNNNNNNNNNNNNNNNNNNNNNNNNNNNNNNNNNNNNAAAAAAAAAAAAAAAAAAAAAAAAAAAAAAAAAAAAUGGAAAAAGUUGAAACAAAUGGAAAAAUAGAAAUAGGAGAAAAAAAUGAAACAAAUGCAAAAGUGAUUGUUCUACAUAGUUCUUCUUCCUUAUCUCCAUCUUCAUCUGCUUCUUCUUCUUCUUCUUCUUCUUCUACUUCUUCUUCUUGUUCCGCCUCUUCGUUUUCUUCUAUUUCUACUUCUACUUCUUUGUCCAGUCCGUCAUCCGAUUCGUCAAUCGUUUCUUCUGCAUUUACUGAUGCGUCAAAAUACAGGUAUAAAAAUAGAAGUUGUUUAUAUAAUGAUUUUUGUAUUAACACCUGUAAUAUAUUUAAAUUAUCUUUUUUGAUUUUGAAAAAUAUUUUAAAUAAUAACCACAGUUAUUUUUUACAUGACCCAAUGAAACUGAGAAAAAUAAAUUUAUUUCUUUUUUUUUUAAGUUAUUUAGAAGAAAAAAAAUAUGAAAAGAGUAUAGACAAGACAGAAGAUGUUUAUGAAAUACAAAUAAUAAAAAAAAAAAGUGUCUAUCAUAAUUUUCCUAUUUAUUAUUUAAAUAUUUUUUUAAAACAUAAUAAUAUUAAAAAAAAGAAAUUGUUGUUACUUAUUAAUAUUAUGAACAAAAUUAUUCAUUUGUGUUCACGAAAACAUAAUAACGUUGCUUUAGUGAAUAAAUUAUUGUUAUCUAUUUUGUUUUACGAAAAUAAAAUGUAUAAAAAAUCAUUUAAAUUAUUGAAAAGAAUUAUAAAAAAUUGUACUUAUGAUUAUAUUAUUUUAUUAUGUAUGCAAUUGUUAUUAUUCUACGAACAAAAUAAUCAAUUUUAUAAAUUUGUUAGUUCGUUUUUUUUAGCAAAUAAAUAUGUACAAGUCGUAUCAUUUAAAUAUAUAAAUAUAAUUUUUACUGCGUUUCAAAACUAUCAAAACUAUUUAUUUUCUAUGGAUAACCCUUUAUCGAUUUUGAAUUUAGAAAAGAACAUAAUAUAUGACGCAGAUUUUUAUAACGCCUUAAAUUGUGAUGUUGUUGUAUUAUCACAUAAUUCUAUAAAAAAAAGGGUAGCCAAUGUAGUUAUUCAACACCUUGAAACAGCGCAUGUCUCUGCAGUACCUGUACAGAUAAAUUCUAGUUCUGACAUAAAAAAGGAGUUUGGUAAUAACAAAAUAGAUGGCACUAGUAACGAAACAUAUUGUUAUGAUGACAAAAAACAACAACGGGUGAGUAACAAAGAAGAGUGCAAUAACAGCAAAAGUGCGAACACAAAUUCAAAUCUGAAAAUGCUCCAAAUAAAUAAGAAUAAAUUAAUCAAACAAGAAAUAAAAAAAUAUUGUAAAUAUAAUUACUAUUUCGAAAUAAAUAGAUAUUUUUUAAAAAGUUUAAGACGGUUUGAUAUUUCUAUUACGAAAAAUGAAAAAAAAAAUCCUUUAUAUAUACCUGAACCAAGUAUUAAAGUGUUAGUAAAAAGCAAUUAUAAUCUUUAUAUAUUUAUUUCGAGUAUGCUUUUUGGAAAUGAUAAACAGGAAAACGAAAUGAUCAACAAUCAGUUUCAUUUAUCAUUAAAAAAAAAAAAUCAAACAGCCAUGAACAAAAAUGAUAAUGAUCUUCUUCAUAGUUCUACAUAUAGCGAUAAGCAAACAGAUGGAUAUAAUGAAGGUAAAGGAGAGUGCGGGGAAGGGAAUACAUGCAGAUAUAAUGGAUACCAUAGCAAAGACAGUGACCCCAUUAUGAAUCACAUAGAAACAUUGUUAAGUCGCAAAAUAAAAGAAUAUAUUAAUAAAAAUUAUAAAAAAAAAAAACGUGUACGGGUUAGGAAAUUGUGUAUACAUUAUGAUGAAAAUUUAGAUUUAUUUGUUUAUUCUGCUCUUAGUAAAGAUUUAAUCAUUCAUAAUAUAAUUAUUCAAAUGUACAACAAAAAAGAAAAUAAAAAUUUGCAUCUUAAAUUUAGUAAGGGUAUAUAUAAAAUAAAGCCUGGGUUAAAUUUAAUAAAACUUAAUAUUGUUGAUAUUCUUGAAAAUAGUGAAAUAAAUUGGCAAUAUUUUUAUUAUAAAAUAAAAUAUAUUUUUUUAGUAGCUAAUAAUUUUUGUUUUUAUCAAAAAAUAGGUAUAUUACCAUAUAAACAAAUAUUAAAUGUUUUUUUAAAUGCUUAUAGUAAUUUUAUAAUACAUAAUUCUAUAGUAAUUGAUACAAAAAAACAUGCCAGUUUUUUUUUUAAUCAACUUAUUGUUCCGAUUUAUAUUAAAAUAAAAACAUUAAAUUCGAUAUUCAAUUGUACGAUUAAGCCUUCUCUUCUUAACUCAACUUGUUUAUUAUAUAAUAAUGUUAAUUAUAUUGAACUCACAAUAAAAAAAAAUCCUAAAUAUUUUAUUUUUACCAAGUUAAAACCUGAAUUGAUGAGUACGAACAAAAUGGACACAAAAAUUUUUGUCAAAGUUGAAAAUGAUUUAUUUUGCAACAAUGCAAAAUGUGUCGAUGCAUAUACAGCUGCUAGUGGUGGUAGCGAAAACAACGACACUCGCACUUGUACAUACAUGUUUAAUAAAAAUUUCGACACUUUAAUAGAUUCCAUAUUCUUUUACUUUGAAAAAAGCGAUGAUAUUAAAAUAGAUCAAGUAGUAGCUUUAAAUGAAAAAGAAAUUGGCUAUAUACACAACGAAACUAAUAAUACUAGCUUUUCUUUGGUAAGUAAACAUACUAAUGAAAAUGAGAGAUAUAAUUUGAAUAUAAAACCUAUUGAAAUGAAUGAUAUAGAUGAAACAAACUCACAUGAAUUGUUAAAAAAUGUUCAUGUAAUUAUAUCGUUUUUGUUAAAAAAAAUAAAUGAUAAAAUGGAAGGUAAAGUGGGUAACGAACAAUAUAAGAAAAGUUGCAACUACUACAAUACGUAUUCUCAAGAUGAUUGUAACAAAAUAAAAAUAAAAUGUGUAAUUAAUAUGAAUCUACACAAUAAACAAAGAAAAAAAAGAAGAACCGAUUUAUUUAUACUAUCACAAGUUAAUUAUGUAGGGAAUAUGAAGUUUGUUAAUUUUAUUACCAACCCAUCUGAACAAAAAACAAACCACUUUUUAAAUAAUCAGAUAAUAAUAGAAAAAGAAUUUAAUGUGAUAAAUAUUUUUAAAGAAAAAAUAAAUACAUACAGAUCAAAUAAUGGAAUGUUAUAUGAAUUGAUAUUAAAAUUACAUUAUGAUAAUUAUUCAAUAUUUUUAAACAAAAUUUAUAUAUCUAUUUUAAAACAGUGUAUCUCACAAAUAAAAAAUGUUAAAAUUUUUGCUGUAAAUAAUAAUGAAGAAAAAGAAGAAAAUCAAAAAACAAAUUUUGUUAAAAAUGAAACAGACUAUUUGCUUUAUGGAACACAAUGUGAUGUGUAUGAAACAGGGGUUGAUGAUAAUGACGAUGUUGAGGUUAAUAUAGUACGUAAAACUGACACAAGUGUAUUAAAUGUGUCGGACAAAAAGGCGUUAGUAAACGACUUAACAAAGCUGAAUGAUGAUGCUAACGAUUCUUAUAAAAAGCAAAACGAUUUAUCAAAUAUGCUUUGUAAAAGCGAAAUAGAAAAAAAUAAUAUAUGUUUUCCUAUUGCAAAUGAAAUGGACAAGUCAAACGGCUAUAAUAUAAGCGAUAUAAAAUAUGUCCAUAUGUUUGAUAAGAGAAAAAAUGAGAACACUAUUAAUAAAUGUAAUGUACGUAACGAAGAAAAGUAUAUUUAUAACGAAGUUAAUAUUAAUAGUUGGAUUAAAAGUGGGGCUAACUUUUUUUUACUUUUUGAAAUUGAAUAUAAUGAUUUAUUUCAAAAAGAUGAACAAACAACUAGCUUUAAGUUACUAAAUUAUGAAAACACAUUUGCAAAUAUAAACAUAACUUAUGAAUAUAAAAAUGGGAACAUGUUGAAUUUGUAUAAAGAAAAAGAGAAAGGGAGAGAACUAGAAAAUGUAAAAGCAAGUACAAAAACAAAUGAAAAUGAAUAUACAUACAUUCAUAAUCUUUUAGUACCCGUACCUCAGUUUUUACUACCUAUAAAUGUACACUAUGAUAUACCAAAACAUGGGCUUCUUCAUUCAACUAUUAGUAUAAAAAUAAAAAUAACAAAUUGUAUUAAUGAAAAUAU
rnacentral:lncRNA from 1 species